GGGAUGCCCAGUAGCGGCGAGUGAAGCGGCAAGAGCUCAGAUUUGAAAUCGUGUUUCGGCACGAGUUGUAGAGUGUAGGCGGGAGUCUCUGUGGAGCGCGGUGUCCAAGUCCCUUGGAACAGGGUGCCUGAGAGGGUGAGAGCCCCGUAGGGUGCUGCGCGAAGCUUUUGAGGCCCUGCUGACGAGUCGAGUUGUUUGGGAAUGCAGCUCCAAGCGGGUGGUAAAUUCCAUCUAAGGCUAAAUAUUGGCGAGAGACCGAUAGCGAACAAGUACUGUGAAGGAAAGAUGAAAAGCACUUUGAAAAGAGAGUGAAACAGCACGUGAAAUUGUUGAAAGGGAAGGGUAUUGGGCUCGACAUGGGGGGUGCGCACCGCUGUCUCUUGUAGGCGGCGCUCUGGGCGCCCUCUGGGCCAGCAUCGGUUCCUGCUGCGGGAGAAGGGGCUCCGGAAAGUGGCUCUUCGGAGUGUUAUAGCCGGGGCCAGAUGCCGCGUGUGGGGACCGAGGACUGCGGCUUCUGUCUCGGAUGCUGGCAUAACGGCGCAAUACCGCCCGUCUUGAAACACGGACA
rnacentral:rRNA from 1 species